GACGAACGCUGGCGGCGUGCUUAACACAUGCAAGUCGAACGGAAAGGCCCCUUUGGGGGUACUCGAGUGGCGAACGGGUGAGUAACACGUGAGUAACCUGCCCGUGACUUCGGGAGAACUUCAGGAAACUGGGGCUAAUACCGGAUAGGAAUCCUUGCUGCAUGGUGGGGGUUGGAAAGCUUCGGCGGUUUUGGAUGGACUCGCGGCUGAUCAGCUUGUUGGUGGGGUAGUGGCUUACCAAGGCUUUGACGGGUAGGCGGCCUGAGAGGGCGACCGGCCACAUUGGGACUGAGAUACGGCCCAGACUCCUACGGGAGGCAGCAGUGGGGAAUAUUGCACAAUGGGCGGAAGCCUGAUGCAGCAACGCCGCGUGCGGGAUGACGGCCUUCGGGUUGUAAACCGCUUUCAGCAGGGGCGGAGCUUGUGGUGACGGUACCUGCAGAAGAAGCACCGGCUAACUACGUG
rnacentral:rRNA from 1 species